rnacentral:rRNA from 1 species
UUCGAGGUUGAUGAGGAUGGUGAGGGCAUUGUCGACGCACCAAAAGGAAGAGGAGGCAACUACACUAAUGAUGAAGACAUUUUGCUAUGCAAUACUUGGUUGCAAGUGUCGAGGGAUCCAUCCGUUGGAGGUGAUCAAAGUAGAGAUGCUUAUUGGAACCAGAUGAAGGAACACUUUGAUCUACACAACAAGAGUGGGAUUGACCGCUCCGUUCGAUCUCUUCGCUCCCGGUGGUCGACAAUCAACAAGGAUUGUCAAAAGUGGGCGGCCGCACAAAAGGCGGUUGACAAGUUGAACCCAAGUGGC